rnacentral:rRNA from 1 species
GAUGAACGCUGGCGGCGUGCCUAAUACAUGCAAGUCGAGCGAAUGGAUUAAGAGCUUGCUCUUAUGAAGUUAGCGGCGGACGGGUGAGUAACACGUGGGUAACCUGCCCAUAAGACUGGGAUAACUCCGGGAAACCGGGGCUAAUACCGGAUAACAUUUUGAACCGCAUGGUUCGAAAUUGAAAGGCGGCUUCGGCUGUCACUUAUGGAUGGACCCGCGUCGCAUUAGCUAGUUGGUGAGGUAACGGCUCACCAAGGCAACGAUGCGUAGCCGACCUGAGAGGGAGAUCGGCCACACUGGGACUGAGACACGGCCCAGACUCCUACGGGAGGCAGCAGUAGGGAAUCUUCCGAAAUGGACGAAGGUCUGACGGAGCAACGCCGCGUGAGUGAUGAAGGCUUUCGGGUCGUAAAACUCUGUUGUUAGGGAAGAACAAGUGCUAGUUGAAUAAGCUGGCACCUUGACGGUACCUAACCAGAAAGCCACGGCUAACUACGUGCCAGCAGCCGCAGUAA